rnacentral:rRNA from 1 species
CUGCAACCCGCCUGCAUGAAGUCGGAAUUGCUAGUAAUCGCGGAUCAGCAUGCCGCGGUGAAUACGUUCCCGGGCCUUGUACACACCGCCCGUCACACCAUGGGAGCCGGUAAUACCCGAAGUCAGUAGUCCAACCUCGUGAGGACGCUGCCGAAGGUAGGAUUGGCGACUGGGGUGAAGUCGUAACAAGGUAGC